AUUGAACGCUGGCGGCAGGCCUAACACAUGCAAGUCGAACGGUAACAGGAAGAAGCUUGCUUCUUUGCUGACGAGUGGCGGACGGGUGAGUAAUGUCUAGGAAACUGCCUGAUGGAGGGGGAUAACUACUGGAAACGGUAGCUAAUACCGCAUAACGUCGCAAGACCAAAGAGGGGGACCUUCGGGCCUCUUGCCAUCGGAUGUGCCCAGAUGGGAUUAGCUAGUAGGUGGGGUAACGGCUCACCUAGGCGACGAUCCCUAGCUGGUCUGAGAGGAUGACCAGCCACACUGGAACUGAGACACGGUCCAGACUCCUACGGGAGGCAGCAGUGGGGAAUAUUGCACAAAGGGCGCAAGCCUGAUGCAGCCAUGCCGCGUGUAUGAAGAAGGCCUUCGGGUUGUAAAGUACUUUCAGCGGGGAGGAAGGGAGUAAAGUUAAUACCUUUACUCAUUGACGUUACCCGCAGAAGAAGCACCGGCUAACUCCGUG
rnacentral:rRNA from 1 species